CGAAUCGAAAGGUUCGCUAAUACCGCAUACGUCCUACGGGAGAAAGAGGGGGAUCUUCGGACCUCUUGCUAAUAGAUGAGCCUAGGUCGGAUUAGCUAGUUGGUGAGGUAAAGGCUCACCAAGGCGACGAUCUGUAGCUGGUCUGAGAGGAUGGCCAGCCACACUGGAACUGAGACACGGUCCAGACUCCUACGGGAGGCAGCAGUGGGGAAUAUUGGACAAUGGGCGCAAGCCUGAUCCAGCCAUGCCGCGUGUGUGAAGAAGGCCCUCGGGUUGUAAAGCACUUUAAGCGAGGAGGAAGGUCAUCAUACUAAUAUUAUGAUGAAUUGACGUUACUCGCAGAAUAAGCACCGGCUAACUCUGUGCCAGCAGCCGCGGUAAUACAGAGGGUGCAAGCGUUAAUCGGAAUUACUGGGCGUAAAGCGCGCGUAGGCGGUUUGUUAAGUCGGAUGUGAAAUCCCUGGGCUCAACCUAGGCACUGCAUCCGAUACU
rnacentral:rRNA from 1 species